rnacentral:rRNA from 1 species
GAUGAACGCUGGCGGCGUGCUUAACACAUGCAAGUCGAACGAAGCAUUUGCGACAGAUUUUUUCGGAAUGAAGUUGCUUAUGACUGAGUGGCGGACGGGUGAGUAACGCGUGGGUAACCUGCCUUGUACUGGGGGAUAGCAGCUGGAAACGGCUGGUAAUACCGCAUAAGCGCACAAUGUUGCAUGACAUGGUGUGAAAAACUCCGGUGGUAUAAGAUGGACCCGCGUCUGAUUAGCUAGUUGGUGAGAUAACAGCCCACCAAGGCGACGAUCAGUAGCCGACCUGAGAGGGUGACCGGCCACAUUGGGACUGAGACACGGCCCAGACUCCUACGGGAGGCAGCAGUGGGGAAUAUUGCACAAUGGAGGAAACUCUGAUGCAGCGACGCCGCGUGAGUGAAGAAGUAAUUCGUUAUGUAAAGCUCUAUCAGCAGGGAAGAUAGUGACGGUACCUGACUAAGAAACUCCGGCUAAAUACGUG